rnacentral:misc_RNA from 1 species
CUCCAAUUCUGCAUGUUACUUAGUGUGACUUGUUCUGUUUACUUACCCGUAUGCCAACUGGGGUUUGACAAUAUGUAGAUUGUAAUUUGUUAGCAUUGUUUAAAGUUCAAGGUUGAAAUGGUCUUGCUCCUAUACUUUCUUUUAGACUUUGUUUUCAACUAACAUGCUUUGAUUUUGGUAUUUUUAGACUAUCAAUAACUUGUUUUUAAUCUUAAAUUUCAUAGUCAUAAGGUUAUGUUUUAAGUGAAACUGGGUUCUUAUAAUGUUAUUGUGGAAGACUAGAGGGAUUGGAUGAUACACAUUGUUGUACUCUGAAAUGAACAAGCUUGCAGAGUAUAUUUUUGGAAAACGGGCAAGUCUUACUGUCUUAGAUAAUUUGGAAGUCAGAUACUGAAUGGGAAUAUUAUUGUGGUUGUUCUCUUAAAUAUUGUGUCUACAUUGAUGGCUUUUAAUGAGACAUAAAGCUUCAUGGGAGCAUUCUUCUUGCUGUGCUCUGGAAAGAAGAGCACCUUUUUCAUAUCAAUUUAUUUGACAUAACCCCAUCCUCUACUAUCACAGUUUUGCCCAUUUCCGGAUUGAAUGACCUUUUUUGCUGGUGGUGACAUCACUUUAUGAUUCAGGAAAAGGAAGAAAGAGCAAAGGAACGAGAAGAAGCA